rnacentral:tRNA from 1 species
GGGGAAUUAGCUCAGUUGGGAGAGCGCCGCCCUUGCAAGGCGGAGGUCACCGGUUCAAAUCCGGUAUUCUCCAC